UGUAGUUCAGUGGUAGACCAUUUGCCUAGUAUGCAUGAGGCACUGGGUUCAAUCCCCAGCA
rfam:Ictidomys tridecemlineatus contig031692, whole genome shotgun sequence.